rnacentral:rRNA from 1 species
AUACGUAGGGGGCGAGCGUUGUCCGGAAUGAUUGGGCGUAAAGGGCGCGUAGGCGGCCGCUUAAGUCUGGAGUGAAAGUCCUGUUUUCGAGAUGGGAAUUGCUUUGGAUACUGGGGGGCUUGAGUGCAGGAGAGGUUAUCGGAAUUCCCGGUGUAGCGGUGAAAUGCGUAGAGAUCGGGAGGAACACCAGUGGCGAAGGCGGGUAACUGGACAGCAACUGACGCUGAGGCGCGAAAGUGUGGGGAGCAAACAGGAUUAGAUACCCUGGUAGUCCACACUGUAAACGAUGAAUGCUAGGUGUAAGAGGUAUCGACCCCUUUUGUGCCGGAGUCAACACAAUAAGCAUUCCGCCUGGGGAGUACGGCCGCAAGGUUGAAACUCAAAGGAAUUGGCGGGG